UUUUAAGCUUUAUUUAAAAAUAAAAAUAAAAAUUAUGGAAGCUAAGUCCGGCCCGAGCCCGUUUAGGUCCGAUCUAAAUUUGGCCCGUUUAAAUUUAGACAAACUUUAAAGGACUUGAACCUAAUGACAAUGACAUGGACUUGAGCCUGAACUUCAAAAAACCCGACUCAAGCCCGCAAUUUGUCAACUCUAAUUUGGACAACUACUAACGACCUGUAAUCAAGUCAUUAAAACCUUAUGGGGACUCAUAAACACUCACAAACACAUUGGAAAAGCGCAUAUGAAUAUAGGAUGUAUCCACAGUGAAGCUACCAUGCUCAUCUUGCAUGUCCACAUUGUUGUGGUUGAUUCUUGUGGGUAAUGUCGUUGUCUCCUUAUUAGGUAGCUAGAAAGACAGGCUUCUGUUUGACCCCAUACUGGUUGGUGAUAAGGGAUAGGUUGCCGCAACCCUUAGGCACGAUUUAUAAGCCUUGCAGAUAUAGCCUAUAAAGUUCUCGUAUUCCUGCAGCAAGACAAAUAAUUCAUCUCUUAAAGAUCCCCAAGUUCAAAUAUCAAAAUAUUUGAUAUAAUAAUCUUCUACUUCAAAGUUCAAAAAUCGUACAUUUUUAUUGAGCAACUUUUAUUUCGAUUUCCAGGAACGUGGGGGACAAUAUGUAAAUCAGGAACAUACCUCAUACUGUGGCUGUCCAUCCACAACAACCCAAGGCACAUAUUGAUGAAGAGGCACAAGCGAAUUUGUUUCAGCUGCAUAUUUUAACUCAAGCUGCAAGUAAUAUAACAUUCAAUCGCAAAUUAAUCAAUCAUAUAUACCAAUUUCACAUUCCAUGGACAAUUUCACUGGCAGUGGACUUUAUCUCUUUUGUUUCUUUUCCUCCAUAUUCACUGACUCUGCAGUCCACUGGCAAGAAAUAAUUUUCUUUACUAGGCGUUACAGGAAAAGCAGAUAUCUAAGAGAAAGGUGACGAAUAUUUUAGCUGAUUGCAAACUCAAAUGCACUUUGUUGAUAUUUAAAUGCAGUGGCAUCGAGGUUUAUAGGCAAUCUCAAAUACAACUCCAGAAAUAUUCCUCUAUGUUCAUGUACCCAAACGCUUAUUAACUCUUUUACUCCAGGGCUUAAAUACUUCCCAAGAAUCUCAUAUAAUAAUCUAGCAGCUAAAUACAGUUCCUUUCUCUCAUCCUCAAUCACAGGGAAAAAAAUUGAAUUUUUUUCUAGUAACUCGAGAAAAAAAAAAAAGAGAACAAGUAGUUUUUAUUGAAAAACAAUUCCGUUAAAAUAAAUAGCAGAAUUAUUAGAAUUUAGGAUGAAAAGCUUGCCAUGAUAAAUUCAUAAAAGGACAAAAUCAAACCAGAUCGCGUGGUGGUGUGUCGCACGGAGGAGUGAUGUCAGUGUCACGUGGCGAAGGCAGAUCGCGUCGUGGUGGAGCUGCUAUCACUUGGCAGUGGCGGUGUGGAGUUGGUAUUGGGUUGAAGCUCGCCAGGGGCUGUGAGCUAUAGAAAUAGCAGCUUUGUUGUCACAAUAGACUUUCAUAGGAGUUGAGAAAGUAAAUUUCAGUUCUUCAAGAAUUCUUUUUAUCCACAUAACCUCACAGAUUCUAUGGGCAACAGCUCUGAAUUCUGCUUCUGCACUACUUCUAGCAACCACAUUCUGUUUUUUACUCCGCCAUGUAAUUAGGUUCCCACCAACAAAGGAACAGUAGCCAGAUGUUGAUCUCCUGUCAGUGACACUUCCUGCCCAGUCUGCAUCUGUGUAGACUUCAACUUGAAGAUGUCCAUGUUUUUUGAACAUUAGGCCCCUCCCUGGAGUUCCUUUUAGAUAUCUUAAGAUCCUGUAGAUUGCCUCAAAAUGCUUUGCCCCUGGUGAGUGCAUAAACUGACUUACCAUGCUGACUGUAAAGGCGAUAUCAGGUCGCGUAUGAGACAAGUAGAUCAACUUCCCUACGAGUUUUUGAUACUGUUCCCUAUCCUUUACUUCUUCAACCUUAGCAGGUUGUAACUUCAAGUUAGGAUCAAUUGGGGUCUCUACCAUCUUACAACCAAGCAAACCUGUUUCUCCAAGGAGAUCAAGAACAUAUUUCCUCUGAUUCACAAAUAUACCUUCCUUGGAUCUUGCAAAUUCCAUUCCAAGGAAAUACUUAAGGACUCCCAAAUCCUUAAUUUGAAACUUCUUUGCAAGUCUCUUCUUGAGGGCUGCUAAUUCUGUUUCAUCAUCACCAGUUAAAAUGAUAUCAUCAACGUAAACAAUCAAAAUUGCAAUUUUACCGUCUUUUGAGUGUUUAUAAAAUAUUGUGUGAUCUCCUUGAUUCUACAAGAAGCCAUAACUGAUAACUGCCUUUCCAAAGCGUUCAAACCAUGCUCUUGGUGACUGUUUGAGACCAUAUAAUGACUUUUUUAAUCUGCAGGCUUUAUCACUACCAAGACUCUUCUCAAAUCCUGGUGGUAGACUCAUGAACACCUCCUCUUUAAGAUCACCAUUGAGAAAUGCAUUUUUAACGUCAAGUUGGUGUAAAGGCCAAUCAUAAUUCACUGCAAGAGAUAACAAAAUUCUGAUAGAAUUUAUUUUAGCAAUAGGAGCAAAAGUCUCCUGGUAGUCAAUCCCAUAAGUCUGAGUGAAGCCUUUAGCCACCAGUCUCGCCUUGUACCUCUCGACGCUUCCAUCCGCAUUACAUUUUAUCGUAAACACCCACUUACACCCAACUAUUUUCUUGUCUCUGGGUGGAUCAAUUAUCUCCCAAGUACCACUUCUCCUCAAGGCAUUCAUCUCCUCCAUGACUGCUAAUUUCCAAUUCGGGUCAUCCAGUGCUUCCUGUACAUUUCUUGGAACAAACAAGUGUGAAAUCCUAGAUGUGAAAGCUUUAUGGUUUUUUGACAGUCUUUGAUACGAAAGAUAAUUUGCAAUAGGAUGGUUGGUACAAUUUCGAACACCUUUCCUAAUAGCUAUAGGAACAUCAAGAUCAUGAAUAAUUGGUGAAUCAUUGGAAACAAUCGAAGGAAUCAAAGCUGGAGUUGGGAUUUGAUUACUUGAAAUUUCAGCGCCGGAACUCGGUUUUUCAAAUUGGGCUUGUGUAGGAUUGACAUUCAAGUCUUUACUUCUCAGAUGAAAUCUCUUCCUAGUAUAAACCUGAAGUUCAGAAUUUAGAUCAUGUUGAUCUGUUUGUAGUACUUCUCCCCCUGAAUGAGAAUCUCCUGUACUAGGCACUAAAGAACUUGUUUUCCUCAACUGAUCAUUAUCAGAAAAGUGUGGUCCUUGAAUAAGACAAAUAACUUUUGGAAGUGGGAUAGAAAUGUCCCAAAAAUUGUCUUCUACUCCAUUUGUCUCCCCCUGAAGAGAAUUUUUUUAUGAAAUAAGGAGUUUUUUCCAAAAACGACACAUCCAUACUCACAUGAAAUGUUUUUGUUUGAGGGUCAAAACACUUAUACCCCUUUUUGUUCGAUGAAUAACCCAAAAAUACACACUUUAUAGCACGUGGGUCAAGUUUUGAACGAAAUUGACUUGGAACAUGAACAUAGACAGUACACCCAAAAACUUUGACAGGUAAAUCAGAAAACAACCUUGUUGUAGGAAAAAAUUCUUUAAGGCAAACAAGAGGUGUUUUGUAUUUUAACACCUUGGUAGGCAUCCUGUUUAUUAAAUAAGCUGCUGUUAAAACUGCUUCACCCCAUAAAUACUUAGGAAUAUGCAUGUAAAACAUUAUGGCACGUGCUACUUCAAGUAAAUGUUUAUUUUUCUGUUCUGCAAUGCCAUUUUGUUGAGGGGUAUUAUGACAUGUAAAUUGAUGAAAAAUGCCUUUAUCAUUCAAAAACUCACCCAAGUGCUCAUUGAAAUAUUCUGUUCCAUUGUCAGAAUGUAAAAUACCAAUUCUAGUUUGAAAUUGAUUUUCAAUCAUAGUGUAAAAAUUUUCAAAUAAAUAUUUUACGUCAGAUUUUUAUGCAUGAGAUAAAUCCAACAUAAACGAGUAUGGUCAUCAAUAAACGUAACAAACCAUUUUUUACUGGAAAGGGUAGUGACCUUAGAAGGACCCCAAACAUCACUAUGAAUCAAAUAAAAAGGUUUGGAGGCCUGGUACUGUUUUGGCAAAUAAGUAGAACGAUGAAGUUUUGCAAAAGUGCAACAUUCGCAAUAAAAAGAAGAGCAAUCAAUCCCUUUAAAUAAUUUUGGAAAUAAGUAUUUCAAAUAAAGAAAACUAGGAUGUCCAAGUCUAUAGUGCCAUAGCAUUAUUUUUUCUCGAACAGAAAUUGAACUAGUACUAAUAAAGUUCUGAGCUUUUUUAUUACUAAUAGGUACUUCAUCAAAGUAGUAAAGACCUUCAAUCAUCCUAGCACGUCCAAUCAUCAUCCCCGAGUUCUGGUCCUGAAAUUCACAAUGUGAUUCAAAGAAGGUAAUACGACAAUUAGAAUCUCUAGAUAAUUUACUAACAGACAAAAGAUUGCAGGCUAAUUUAGGGACAUGAAGAACAAAAUUGAGAUUAAUGUUCUCGGUCAGUUUGAUAAGUCCUUUUCCUGCAAUAGGUGAAAAACUACCAUCGGCAAUUCUAAUUUUUUGAUUUCCAGAACUAGGAGAAUAGGUAUUAAAUAAAUGAAAAGAACUAGUCAUGUGAUCAGAGGCUCCAGAAUCUAUGAUCCAUGGAGAAGAGUUUAAACGAGAAAGGGCUAUUGGAUUUCUACCUGUUUGUGCCAAAGAAACACUAGGAAUACCAGACGAGAAGUUGGAUUUUAUUAGCUUCAAGAGUUGAUCAAUCUGCUCUUUGUUGAAGUGGCCUGAGUUGGCUUCAUUGGCAGAAGGAAUCCCACGAUUCUUCUCUCCUUGCUUGCUGCUUUUCCAGUUUUCAGGUUUGCCAUGAAGCUUCCAACACUUCUCACGUGUAUGGCGAGGCUUGUGGCAAUGAUCGCACCAGGCCUGUGACUUAUCAUCAGACCUGCGCUGAUAAUUUGCAGUCUUGUAGGCUGCUGGAUCAGUAAUUAAGGCAGAAUUCACAAUUAACUCACUAGUACUCCUUUUCCUGAGCAUUACGCUCCUUCAGCUUUCUUCUCUUCUGACUUCAGCAAAGACUUCGCCAAUGGGUGGUAGAGGAGGUCUGCCAAUAAUCCUCCCUCGUACUUCAUCAAACUCAACAUUGAGUCCGGCAAGAAACUUGUAAAUACGACUGUCUUCCACAGUUUUCUUGUGGUGGUUGCAGUCAUCAGCGGAUUUCCAUUUAUAUGUGUUGAAGAGGUCAAGAUCUUGCCACAACCUUUUCAAAGAAUUGAAAUAUUUGGUGACAGAAUCAUCACCUUGACGAAUCUCUCCUAACUUUAAAGUUAACUCAAAAACCUGAGAUUGGUUGCCCAGGUCAGAAUACAUCUGACUAACGUUGUCCCACAAUUCUUUAGCAGUAGAAUAGCACAUAUAAUUGGAGCUUAUAUCCUCCUCCAUGGAGUUGACCAGCCAUGUCAUAACCAUGGAAUUUUCAGCAUCCCAAGUGGCAUACAGCGGAUCAUCAUUAGCAGGAACCUUCUUGUCACCAGUGAUGUAACCAAUUUUUCCUUGCCCACGGAUAUACAUCCGGACAGAUUGCGACCAGCGGAGGAAGUUGUCGCCAUUUAGGCGGAUGGUGGUGAUUUGAACAGAAUGAGAGUUGGAGUGGUUUCGCAGGGUCUCAGAUGUUUUUUCUGGAAUGGCAGUAGCAGGGGUUGGAGUGGUUUCAGACGUGACUUCUGACAUGGUUACAGACACGAUUCCCUAUGCUCUGAUACCAACUUAGAAAUUAUGAGGAAAAAGUAGUAUACUUCUUAUUUACAAUCAGAACAAGGAUCCCUUUUAAAUAGAGCAAUUAUAACAGAAAAGGAAACUAAUUAAGAGCUAAUAUUUGACAGCUAUCAUCUAUAUUUACAUAGGAAAGGAUCCUAAAAUAUCUCUAGGAUUAAGGCUAAAAUCAAGGCCUAAUUUCCAACACAUUUCAAUCCGACCUGGUUGUCGGCCCGGGUCGAAAAGAGUAUCAGGCAAAUGGACAAAUUGAAUGAGAAAUUUCCAGUAAGUGAUCCAGAGAAUGAGAACAUUCAAGAGAUAAUGGAGGCUUUGAAGCUUAAAUUUAGAAUUAUUCGGGCUGCAUUAGGUGUGAGACUGGAGUAUGAUGGGUAGCCUAAACCCAAAGAGAUUGCAUUUUGAGUCGAGAGCUAGUUUUUUUUGUAAUAAUCUUGGUGAUAAUGCAUAGUUACAUUAAUUUUCCCCCCCGUUUUCGUUGGAGAAUUUGAUAUGAUAUAACUAUGUUGCGUUUUAGUCUCAAGUAUUUGCUUAGUUGGUUUGUAUUGUAGUAUUUUGGUGACUACUAUGGAUUGCCUAGAAGGUUGAGGGUCAGCAAAAUUUCUACAAGGGGGUGUUUCGGUUCGUUUGCAUUCAUUUAGUUUUGAAGAACUGAAUUGGAUACUGCUCACCCCCAAUUUCCAGUAACACUUUUCUUAUCAUAGUAACCCCAUCCAUGCAGGCACAUGCGUGCAAAAAUGAAGAUACUCAGUACAUUGAGACUAUAUGUGUUGGUAUUCUAUUUGAGCAUGGUUAAAGAAUGACAGGACAUCUUCUUGCUGGAACACUCAGCAUGUUUAGCUAUGUUGUUGACAUUGUGAUGGAACAAGUGAUGACUUUCUAUAUUUCUUGCAUCACUGAUCGAGUUGAAAUUGUUAUGUGAGAAAAAAUAAACAUUGGAAUAUUAUAUUGGAUACCCUGGAAAAUGAAACAGAGCUGAAAGAGGCAGUUUGGCAUAGCUUGAACUAAUAAUGUGAGGAUGAGAGACAUGCAAUUGUAAAUUUGCAUAUUGAGCAGCAUAAAAAACUAAUGUAGGGCUAUUAUAAUUAUGCUGAGCUUUACGGACUCAAAUAUUGAUUGGGCAUAAAAAAAUCACCAGGUGGCUGUUCUUAUUUGAGUUUAUACAGGCUUUAAUUUGCAAUCCAAAAUUGUAACAAUAAUUAUGAUAUUUUUCACUUGAUUUAGUUUUAGGCAGUGAUUGCUAUUCUGUAUUUCUAUGUUGACAUCUAUGUUUCUGGUUUGUCUUCAGCUUUAAUUUGCAGCUAUCUAACACUAAUGUUUUACUAGUUCUAGAAUGUUGCUAGAAAAUUUAUCUUUUGAAGCUGCUAGAGUGUGGUCCCCAACUAUUAUGGCCACAUAAAUUCCUGAUAAUGCCAUUUCAUUAUCCCAAUCUUUCUUUGUUGUGCAAUUGGUGGCAGGCAGCAAAGAGAAGAAAAAUGUUAAAGCUGAUGCUUGCUUGCUGCAAGGUAUAUAUAUCUGAAAGUCGAAACAAGGCUGCACUGGAAUCAAUUGAACAAGCUGCCAAACUAUUUUCAGAAGCUGCUAUUGUCAACAAAUUUGAAGAUGUAACUUACAAUAGAGUUGGUUAUACGGUGGUCUCCAAAUUGGCUCCAAAGCCAUCUUCAAACUCUCAUCCUCUGAAAAGUACUGUGUUUGCCAUGGUUAAAGCUGCUUUUGAGAAUAUUGACCUAGAUAUGCAUUCUGGAAGUCAUCCUAGGCUUGGAGUCGUGGACCAUAUAUGCUUUCACCCUUUGGCUUCUGCACCUUUGGGCCAAGUGGCCAAGAUUGCAAAGUCUUUGGCAGGAGACAUCGGAUCUGAUCUUCAAGGUUUGCUUCCUAGAAAGUCCAAUGAAUAUAGCUACUAGAGAUUCUAGGAAAGCUGAAAAUAUGAAUUAGUACUUUUGCCUUCUCUAAAUUCCUGCACAAAUUCAUAACUGUGAAAGGGCCAGAUAAGCCUAAAAUAACAGCAUGUUUUGUUUUAUACCUUAUCCAGCCUGAGGGGUGUGUCCAACACAAUUUAGUGCUUUAUCCUAUUAUCUUGUUAAGCAAACUUCAGAUGCCAGAAUUAUUGAUAACCAAGCGCUUUGAAGUUUUGCAUUGAUACAAAACAUUAGAGUGUUCUGAUGUUUGUGGUUUCUUGUGUAUCCUUUCUUGUUCAGGAGAAAGGACGUGCAUUGAGUGAGCUCUUUUCUCAUUUAACAUGGAGUGUUUCCAUUGUAUAUUGCCAAUUCUCUAUAUUUAGUGAGCCUAAAUAUAGAAUUGGGUUACCAGAAUGCAUCUCUUAUCUUACUAUAAUGGUUACAAUUAGUAAUUCAUGAGCAUGUUUUAUUCUCUUGGGAAAUUUCCUUUGCGCUUGCUGAUGAUCCUCAAUGUAGCCUGCAGUCCCUACCUUUUUAUAUGGAGCUGCACACGAAGAGGAAAGGACACUUGAUUCGAUUAGAAGAAAUCUUGGAUAUUUUAAGCCUAAUUCAGCUGGAAACCAGUGGGCUGGAGGGUUAAAUUCAGAGUCUUUAUUAGUGAAGCCAGAUAGAGGUCCUGAUCAAGUGACUCAAUCAAAAGGUGUCAUUGUCAUUGGAUCAACGAGGUGGGUUGAUAACUACAAUGUUCCUGUCUUCUCCACAAGCAUUGCUGCUGUUCGCAGGAAAGCAAAGCGAGUAAGUGAAAGAGGAGGUGGACUUGCUUCAGUACAAGCCAUGGUUCUUACACAUGGUGAAGUUAUCACUGAGGUAGCAUGUAAUCUGUUGGAACCCAGUAAAAUAGGAGGAGAUAAAGUUCAGCUAGAAGUCAAAAAGCUUGCAGGAGAAGAGGGUAUGGCUGUGGGGAAAGGAUACUAUACUGACCUUUCACAGAAAGAAAUAAUUGAACGUUAUAUGAAAUUGAAUUCACUUGCUUAAGAUGUAGAUGUUCAUUUUUUAUUUACUUUCUGUCUAAGAUAUUAUGUAUUAAUUCCUACAGAUGAUUUUUUUUUUUGGAAGUCACUAUUUUUCUUCUCUUGUUCCAAACGAUUUUUAUUUUCUCUCAAUUAUCGUUGGCUGAUUUUAGUUCGAGCGCAAAAGAUUUAAUAAAAUAGGUUACUUUUUCUUUUUUAUUUUAAAAUUUUGUUCGAAGAGUGGAGGAGAAGAUGAAGAACAAUAGAAUGCGAAAAGUGAGUUUUAAUUGGUGUAGGUGUGAAUAAAUUUUUAAAUUAUGACGAGUGGUGUUGAUUGGAAAUAUUGGGUGUCAGCUCAAGUAGGCAUUUUUUAAAUUCUAAGUUAACUCAAUGCUAAAAGUAUCAAAAUGUCAUUUUUUUUACUCAUCCAAAUUAAUUGUGAAAAGCAACGGGAGGGAGGCUUUGCAUCCAUUAUUAAAACUUUGAAUGUCUCCAUGAUAUUUUUCUGAAACGUGGGAGUGCAAUUGUCAUAUUCCAUGUUUGUUUUAGUCAUUUUACUGUCAUUAUUUGAAGUAAAUGCCAUUUGCUGCCAUCGACCUUGUUUACUUUUUAUUUUUUUGUGGCCUUUUAUUUGUAUAAUAUAAUCUAAUGCAUUUGCUAUUCAUUAUAACCUUAUCGUACAUGCAAGUAGAUAUUAAUAAGAGUAGAAAAUUUUGGUUGCAUUUUAUAAUUUUAAUAUAAAAUAAGUUAAGUUUGAUCGUAAAUAUAAGUAGUCUUUUGAUUGUAAUAUCAGUAACAAUAAUAGUAAUAAAAAAAAAUCCAAUGCAGGUCAAUUUUUUUUUUUAAAGUUCUAAUAAAUUUCGUAAAAAGGUCCACACUGCUGCCUUGUGAAGGGUCUACAAACACAUGCAGCAUCUCGUGGGCGGGGCCCUUGUCUUUGACAAAAGGAAUAUAAAGAUCAAACAGAUGUCCUGAUGAACGUGGGUUAAUUGACAAUGAGUCACAGUAAUCUAUUUCACGUGCCGCUUACCCAACACAAAACCACUUAAAUCUUGCAAGCUAAAUGGCACAAUUCCAUUUCUGUGAGCAUUUUUUUUUUGUCUUUUCUUUGGAAAAAAGGAAGAACCAAAAGGAAAAGGCGAAGUGAGGAAGAGCCUGCCGUUUUGAAACAUCUUUACAUGCAUACGGGAUGCUUCUUUCAUAGUUCUCUUGCCUUGCAAAAUUGAUUAAAUAAAAUAAAAUAAGUCAUUUUUUGCAUGCCCUUAUAAAUUUUGAUGGUCAGUGCACCCGUCUGGUGGUGUGACUUUAGAGAUGGCCAACCGGCCGCCCCAACACAGCAUUGUCCGGUAAGGAAUGGUCCAGUCCUGCUAAUGGGCUGAUAUGACAGAAAUUCUUGUGUAAAUUUAUCUUGUAUAAAUUGAUGUGUUAUAAUAAAAUUAGUUAAAUUAAAUAUUUUUUAACCCACAUGAUUUAUUUUUAUUAUUUUAUAUUUUUAUUCAAUUAAUGAAUUAAUUUCAUAUCAAUUUCUGUAAAAUAAAUUUAUACAAGAGUUUGUCACUGUAUCAUCACUCUAAAAUAAUUUCUGCUUAUACAAACACAUAUAGGCACAAAAUCGAGUGGCCCUCUUUAUAUGUACAAUUUUUAACACAAAUUGCAUUAAAACUAAUGAUCAGGAUUAAAUCAAACUUAAUUCUGUUUUUUAAGACUAAUUAAUAAAAUAAUGAGACCGCACAAGUAACAAUUAAGUUUUUUUUUCAGUCUCCUCCCGAAUUCUUCUUUCGACGUUUUUCUCUCUUCCAGGAAUGCUUUUACUUUGUUAUUAAUUAUGUCCUCUUGAAAUUAGAUUAAAUCUUAAAAAACAGUUAGGGACGUGGCUCAACCGUUUAUAAUUAUGGGUCCUUAGGCGAAUUAUGUCAUCACCUUCAUAUAUUAGAUAAAAUCCAGGACACAAAGCUAAUCAAUAGCAGUCUAUUUUCUUGCUUGGUUGUUCAUUGCUUCUAUUAAACAAAGCCAUUAAGGAUUUUAUGGAUGUUUCCCGAGAAGCAAGCUAUUACAGCGAGCGGCUGGAGCUGUAGGGAGCCGAGGAGCAAGGCAGUAGAUAAGAUGGAAGAAGGGGCCAGGCUCCCGGUGGAGCAGAUGAGUUUGUUUAAAUAAAUUGAUUAAUCAAUUAUCUUCAUUUAUAGACAAACCUAUGAUCUUAAUUAAUUGCGUCUCUCCAAUAUCCAAGAUGAAUCUCCAAAUCCGAGUUAUUUGUCCAUUCAUGUGACAAGUAUUGGCAUCUAUCUUCUUCUUGGCAGUGUUACAAAAUGGUAAAUUUGAUUUGUACAUGAGCUUUAAGUUUUUCAGUGGAAAGAAAUUUAAUGCCAGUUUGCUUUUUACGUUUAAGACUUUUUGUAGUUAAUGAAUUUUCCAUUCCAAAAAAUAUAUUAUUGUCAAAACUGAAAAAUUUGUAAAAUAAAUAUAUUUUUUAUUAUUUUUUUUUGGUCAAAAUUUAUGAAAUAUAACUACUUUUGACAUAUAAUUCUCAAUUUUGAAAUGGAACCUUAGGAGAUGUGGCAGAUUAUAGGCACGGAGAUGACGGAAUUACCCAUCCAAUAGGAAGUGGUCAUAAAGCUUAUUUUAAAAAUUUAUUUUAUGUUGAUGAUGCUUUUCUGCCUCAUGAAGCUACAAGAAACAAUAAUAAUAGAUCGAGGAUAUCGCACAGAUGGGACUAAUUGGACCAUCUUAGGCCUAUAACAAAAGGUAAUAUUUCUGAUGAAAGAGAUUGCGUCUUUUAGAACAACCGAUGUGUCAAGUUUGUUCUAGAAAAAGGAUUAAGAAGAGAGCAUAAUUAAGUCGACAUGCAUAAACUAACUUAAUCAACACAAUAGCAUACAUAUACAUUAAUUUUAUUUAUUAAUUUCUUCGUUUAGGAAGAUAUAUUACAUGAAAAGAAACAUAUCUCUAAAAAAAACUUAUUGGUUGAACUGAACUAAAUUGAUACUCACACAAUUGAUAGGUCAUAAUAUACCCAUCUUUUUAUUUAAUUAAAAAAAAAAAACUAUUUCAUGCACUUAACCGGUGUAGUCGGGCUUUCUUCCGUAUUGAGGAACUACAAAAAGAUCAAAAUUAUCAUUUGCUGCAUCAUCAUCAGCAAUACUCGAACGGACAUCUAAUAUGUGCCCCUCUGACCAAUUCCUCUUGUCUGAAAAAAUUAUAUUAAAAAACUUAAUCAUAAAUGCAUAAGUUAAAACAAGAAUUAUAAACAAUAUUUAACUGAAGUUGGCCAAAAUAACUGGGAAGGGAGUCUCCAUAUUCUUCAAAUUAAUCAGAAAAGAUCUCUCUAGCUUCCGGUGAACCGUUAUGAAAACACAAAAGUAAUUAAGUUGCUUUAGCGAGUUCUACCGUUUGAUAUUUAUAGAAUGAAGCAAUCAACUGUAGAUUCAAAUAAUAAAUCUUUACAAAUAUUGCCAACAAAUUAUUGAGUGCCAACAAAUAUAAUUGACUAUUUAAUUUUCGACUCGGACGUAUAGUCGGUCGGCAAUCAAUUAUUAAAACAAGACAAACUAAUAGCAAUUCUAAAUUCUUUUCUUCACAGACGUUAUCUUCAUUUUGGAAUGACUGGACAGAACUGCCAAAAUAUUGAUUGACUUCUGAACAUUAUUUUUUUAAAACGGUUCAAAUUCAUGCAACGUACCCUAAUUUUCUUUUUCUCAAUAUUAUCAUCAAUUUAGGUCUUGAAUUUUGAUUUUAUAAUUACUUCUAUAGGGUCAGAGAUUCAUCACACCUAAUAAAAAUUCAAGUUUCUAGCGCCUUCAAUUUUUUCUGUCAUAUUUUGUUGAUUUCAUGGAAAUUAAUUCUGAUAAUUAUUCAGGAUUAGUAGUGGCUAAAACUAUGAAGACCUAAAAUUAUAUAUAAGUUUUCCCUGAUUAUUGAACUUUGGGAUUGAAAUUGCGCAACGAGUAGUGUUAGUUGUGAAGCCAGGCUACGUUAUGUAGAAAGUAAAAUGCUUCUUAUCCAAUAAAAUAUAUAUAGUGCUUGCAGCAAUCAUUCAACAAUGAGUAUAUGCGAAUUAAAAAUUGUGCAUUCGCCUUUUAUAUUCAUACAUUUUAAGCAUAUAUAAUUGAUUAGUCUAAUUAUUAGUAGCUGCUUGAGUCUGUAUCAGUUGUGAUCACUUGGUUUCCAUCCUUAAAAUUCUUUGUGUGAUUCAUGUUAUAGCCUAAAAAUCAUACUAAUGUCUUUUUUUUUUUUUUUUUACUGUUUUAGUUUUUAUUUGUUGGUAUUCCUUGAUGAAUUGUAAUGUAACUAAGGACAUGCUUCUGAAAAUAGAGAGAAAGUUAUGAUGGCAUUAUCAUGCUGAUACACAUAAUUGAAGAAACAUAAACAUUCUUAAUUAAUUUACAGAUCUUAAUUCCCUUAUGAAUUGCCGCAAUUACCAAACUAGUACAUCGGGUUUGUUUAACAAAAAUAUCCAAGAAGAAAGAGAGUAUGAUUAAUUAAACUGAUUUGGACAACAGCACACGAUUUUAUCUUCAUUAAUGGACUAACAUAAUUAACACAUUGACAUACCAUAAUUUUUUUUUUAUUAAUGACAAUGACCGAAGUUACUCUAAUCAUUUUUUUUUUCUAUAUUUAUAUGUUUCAAUAAGAAGACCACAUUAAUAUUUAUAAUUAAACAAACUAUUAAAACUAAUCUGAUCAAUUCUAUUAUAGCACAAUCUAGAUAUAACUCUAUUUUUGAAACCCAAACAGAAUUGGUAAACGAAUAGAGGGUUCACAGAAGAAAUUAGUAGGUUCAUAUAUAAAAUAUUAUUGUUUAUAUUUAUCCCUGGGCCGUUUUGGUCUUGACCUGCUUGAAAUAUUUUACUGUAGAUAAUUCUUAUAAGUAAUUGAAACGGUAUCAAGAAAUCAUCUGUUAUUUAUUUAUUUAAAUAGUAAAACUAAUUUACAUGAAGCUUAGAUAGCUAGAAAUAAUUUCUAGGCUUCUGCAACUGAUGUUUCUCCGGAACUUGAGGAGAAACAACAGUCGAAAGCAAUUUCUUGAAAUUGCGAAGUAGUUGGAAGCAAUUUUAUGGAAGCGAUUGGAGAGCCAAAGACGUGUUCAAAAUGCAUUAUAUUUGAAUUUUGAAUAGCAAUAUUGUAAAACUGAAAGUGGCAUUGCUGUAAUUACUGUCAAUAUAUUAUAUAUUGAUGAUGUUUUUAAGUUGGAUAGUCAAUGGAUACAAGACACAAAAAGCUAAGAGUAACGUAUCAUACUCAUAAUGAAUGAUUGACCUUUUCACUCAUUUUUUUUAGAGGCUCACACGCUUCUAAUGGCGACAAUAAUUUGAAAAAAGAAGGAAAAGUUAAUGCUUAAAAUCAAAGUGAUGAAAAGAUGCUUAAAGACAAACAAAGUAAUUAAAUACCACCACCAAUCAGCAGUUGGUAUAGUUCAAAAAAUUUUAUUUAAUUUAAGGUAUUUUUUUUAAUGUUCAUUUGAAUACGUUCUAAAUCUUAUAAACUCAAAUUUUAUUUUUUAAAAAAAUUCUAAAUAAUAAUAGUAAUAAAUUAUUUAUUUUAAAUGCGUGAAAAUAUCAUUUUUUGAAGUAAUUUCUACAAAAUAUUUUUAAAAAGUUUUCAAAAUUACCCUUCAAUUUUUUAACUUAUUUAAUACCAUUAAUAAUUAUUAUUUAUAAUUUUAUUUUAUAAUUUUAUUUUAUUGAUUUAAAAUUAUAAAUGGACCUCCACCGGAAAGUCACCGGAUCUCGUCGGACAACCGCCGGAUCUCGCCGGACCACCGUCGGACUUUGCCAGAAGGUCGCCAGAAAACCGUUUGAUUUUGCCGGAAGGUCGCCGGACCACCAUCGGGCUUCGCCGGAAAGUCGCCGAACUUCUGCCGGAUUUCGCCGGACCUCCGCCGCCGGCCACCGAACCGUCAUUUUAUUUUAUUUAUAUAUAUAUAUGUUUCAAAGAAAAAAAUUAUAAUUCAUUUCCUUAUCAAAUUUUAUAUCAGACCAAACAACAAAAUCUAAUUUUACUACUCUUCUCCAUUCCUUUCUUCUCCCUUCCUCUCCAUUCCACUCUUUUCUUCUCCUCCCUUUUCUUCAAACCAAACAUGACCUUAGAGGACUAAUAGGCUAUUGUGGCUAAAUUAACAAAAUGUAAUCUUAUAAGAUUAAAAGAGAUCGUUUCCUUUUUAACAAUUAUGUAUGGAGUUAAUUUGUUUUAGAAAGAGAUUCAAGAAGAGAGCGCAUAAUUAAGCCAACAUGUAUAGACCUAUUCACUUAAUCAACACAUCGACAAACACAAUAUUUUAUUUAUUAAUUUCCUUUUUCAGGGAGAUACAAUAUACAUAAAUAAACAAAGAAAAUCUCUUGUAUAUCUCAAGAGAUCUUAUCAAUUAUAUAAAACCAAAUUGAAACUCACAGAUUGAUAGGUAAUAAUAUGCCUAUCUUUUUAUUUAAUUAAAUAUAACAUAAAAGAGUAGUAACACUAUAAGCAUGGACUUAACCACUGUAAUCAGAAUUUCGCCCAUAUUGAGGGACAAUAAGAAGAUCAAUAUUUUCAUUCACGAUAGUAUCAUCAGCAAUGCUAUCCCAAAACGCUGUGAAACCCUCCAACCAAUUAUUCUUACCUGAAAUUGUCAUAUUCAAAAACUUAAUAUGAAUGCAUAUGUUUAUUAAAAUGAAAAUUAUAAAUGGCAUUCAAAUGAAGUUGGCCAAAACCUGCGCAGGUGGUUUCCAUUCUUGAAUUCAGAAAAGAUCUCUGCUUCGGAAUCAAAACUCAAAAGAAAUUAAUUAAGUUGCUUUUGCGAGUUCUUGCUUCUGGUUUGAAAUGAUAUACAUGUAUAUAUAGCGAUUGCCCACUCUGCUAUUUUGGUGGGUGGUUGGGACGUAGUUUAUGCAUUUAUUUACGUCAAUUAAAUUUAGGGUGUGUUUGGUUGUAGUAUUAAAGGGGUAUUAAAUUACUGUUUAUUUUAAGUUAAUAUUUGUACCAUGUUUGGGAGAACAUCACAUGAGUUUAGGAUACUGUAGCUAAUGCGGCAACUGAACCCGACUGUGAGUCGGGUUUGGCUAAUGCGGCAGUUGCCGCAUUAGCUUACCUUUUUUCUUUUUCUUUUUUUUCUCUUUUCCUUCUUUGGUGUUUGCGGCUUGCGUUUCUUUUUUUUUUUUUUCCUUCUUCUUUCUUUUGCAUUUGCUUUUUGCUUUAACUUUUGUUUUUGCUUAUAAUAAUAAUAAAAAAUAAAUAUAACUUUUUAAUUUAAUAUAAUAUUAUAUAAAAUUUUAUUUUUAAAUUAUAAUUUAAUAUAAAUUAAUAAAUAUAUAAUUUUUAUUCAAUAAUAUUAUAUUAUAUUUUUAUUUUUAUAUUAUAAUUUAUUAAUAAAUUUAUAAUAUAAUAUAACUAAUAAUAAAUAUUUAAAUAUGAACAAAUUUGAAUAAUAUUAAUUUAAAAUUAAAAAGAAUAUAAAUAUAAAUAUAAUAAAAUAUAAAAUUUAAAUUAAUUAUAAAAAAAUAAUAUAGUGCAGUGUAGCGCCAAACAUUGUACAUUAUUAUUAUAAUACAGUGCUAAUACAAUACAACAUAAUACAAUACACCAGCAUUAAAAUAAUGCAAUACAACAUAAUACAAUACAGUGUGCCAAACGCACCCUUAUAAAAUUAUUGGAGAGUUGGUAGCAAGUCUUUUUCAUUGUUGACAUUUCUUUGUGGGUUUUAUGACGUACAAAGGAUAAGGGAAAAAUAAAUUAGGAAAUAUCUUAUUUGAGUUUAAUUAGUGUUUAGUAUUUUAUUAGAAUUAAUCUUGUUUUAGGUAGUGUACUUGUUUUAAUCGUACUUGUAAUGGUAGUUUAUUUAAGAUUUAAGAGUAUUUGUCUUAUUUGAGAAACUAGAAAAUAUAACCGCGCUUCACGCGGCUUUGAAAAAAAAAUUUAGUAUUAUCCUUUUUUCUUAUUUUACACUUGAUGAAAUUGAUAAAAAAUAUUAAUUGAUUUUUUUUUAAAGAUGAGGCAGCCUUAUAAAAAAUAAAAAAAAUCUAUUAGCCAGCAAUACAAAUAAAGAAGCAACGCAGGAUAAAGAAUAAAAUGAGAGAAUAUAUUAUAGAGUGAUUUUAUUCAUUCCAAUUGUAUGUGUACAAAACAAAAAGAUGAGCUUUCCUUUUAUAGUUACAUAAUCACUCCAUGAAAUUAAUGAAAAAUUAUGGAUCAUAAUUCCUUGUGAGAUAGUGGUAGUUAUAGGGAAGCUAAAUGUUGCUAAUGAGAGAUAGUGGGGAGACUAAGAGAAAUAUGUUAUGAACAUCUACAUUUAUUUUAAUAAAUUCAUAACACUCCCUCUUGGAUGUUCAUUACAAAGAAUAUGCCUCAUUAAAACCUUUACAUAAUUGUUAUUGUGUAAUAACAAUCAAAUUAAUUAUGAGAAGAUGAAAAGCCAAAUUUAAAAGAAAAUUUCUCUAUUUAUUAGAUAAUAGAGAAUAUACAAAGAUGAGAAAUGGUGAUGCCACAUCACCUCCUCAAGUCCCAACUUUAUAUAUAUAAACUAGAAAAUAGAACCGCGUUUCACGCGGCUUUGAAAAAAGAAUUUAGUAUUAUCAUUUUUUCUUACUUUACACUUGAUGAAACUGAUAAAAAAAUAUGAAAUGAUUUUUUUUAAAGAUGAGGCAGCCUUAUAAAAAAAAAAAAACUAUUAGCCAGCAAUACAAAUAAAGAAGCAACGCAAGAUAAAGAAUAAAAUGAGAGAAUAUAUUAUAGAGUGAUUUUAUUCAUUCCAAUUGUGUGUGUACAAAACAAAAAGAUAAGCUCUCCUUUUAUAGUUACAUAAUCACUCCAUGAAAUUAAUGAAAAAUUAUGGAUCAUAAUUCCUUGUGAGAUAGUGGGAGUCAUAGGGAAGCUAAAAGUUGCUAAUGGGAGAUAGUGAGGAGACUAAGAGAUAUAUGUUAUGAAUAUCUACAUUUAUUUUAAUAAAUUCAUAACACUCCCCCUUGGAUGUUCAUUACAAAGAAUAUGCCUCAUUAAAAUCUUUACAUAAUUGUUAUUGUGUAAUAACAAUCAAAUUAAUUAUGAGAAGAUGAAAAACCAAAUCUAAAAUAAAAAUUCUCUAUUUAUUAGAUAAUAGAGAAUAUACAAAGAUGAGAAAUGGUGAUGCCACAUCACCUCCUCAAGUCCCAGCUUUAUAUAUAUAUAUAGAUAGAUAGAUAGAUAGAUAGAUAGAUAGAUAGUAUUUUGGUGGGUGGUUGGGACGUAGUUUAUGCAUUUAUUUACGUCAAUUAAAUUUAUAAAAUUAAUGGAGAGUUGGUAGCAAGUCUCUUUUUCAUUGUUGACAAUUUCUUCGUAGGAUUUAUUUCUUAGCUGCGGGAGUAGCAUAUCUUAUUUAUUGUACAUCGGCAUCGAUAAAAUAUAGAGUAUUGUUAUAUGUACUGAAAUAGCACAAAAUUUAAUUUAAAAUGCAGAAAUGAUAAAAAUAUAUUAUCUUGUAGUAAUUUUUUUUGUAAUUAAAUUUUUUUAGGUGAUAUGUUGUUUUUUAUGUACAUAUUAUUGUCUCAAGAUUUAAUAUCAAUUUUGAUUGCGAUGUUAAACAUAUUACGUAUCUAAGUUUUUUGAAAUCUUGGUUAGUAAAAUCUCUUUUAGUGAAGAUCUUACAUCUUGACCUAACAUAAACUAAUGGCGGAAAUGAUUAUUUAAACCAUGGAUGAACCAACUCUUUACAAAAUAUUAUUUGUCAAGUGCAGUACGUAAAGUAAUUGGGAGCUCGGAUAGGGAUCGCUCUAGGAUCCUAUGAUCUUGAACCUUCUCAAUCAUGAACUAAAAUCAUUGUCAUUAUUUCGUGUAAACAUGAAAAUUAUAAUGAUCAUUUUGUACAAAAUUAUGGUGAUAUAUGUUCAUUAUAGAAUAAUAAUAUAUAAGAAUUCCCCCAACAAGGUGGGUUUGAAUUUUUACCAUUCGCCUUAUCCACAGCCACAUCAACAUUCAAUUUAUACCAACCCACUGGAGGGACCUCCCAUCUCUCAACAGAUAUAUCUCUAUUGGACUGUUCAGAAUCCUUACUAAUAGAUUGCAUACAAACAAAAGAUUGGAACAGCCCUUCAAUUCGUUCAACAACAUGUGACGCCACCAUUUUAACAUUGUCAAACAACCAUUUAUUUCGAGCUUCCCAAAUACCCCACAAAGUCAGCACAAAUAGAGACAAGUCAGUAUGUGUAAGCUCAUAUCUUGCAUAUUUAAACAGCCCUCACAAAUCAUAGUUUAUACCGUGCACACUCAACUCCCAAAACUUAAUCUCCACACCUCUUCGGCCCAGUCACAUCCUACCAAUGCAUGCAUCACUGAUUCCUCCACAUGUCCACACACACGACAAUUUGAAACAUUUACAACUCGUUUUUCCUUUAAUUUUUCCAUUGUAGGCAAAAUAUUUGAAAGAGCUCGCCAAAGGAAAAUUCUCACCUUGGGAGGAACAUUUAGGGAAACUAAACUUUAUUAUUACUAUUAUGAUCAAAUCAUGUAUUUUUUAAUGUAUAUAAGAAACAGAACUAAGGAAAAAUGGAAGGAUAUUAAUCAUUCUAAUCAAAGGUUAAUUAGGCAGCAUUUUGGCAGUUCUGGCCACAUUAUCAUAACGAAAUGAUGUUUUGGAAGGAAACUAAGACUCGAUUAUUGCUAUUCUUAGACCAAAUUAUGAAAGGCCCAAAUCCUCAAAAAAUAUAGGCUCAAUAAAAAUAUUUUACAUGAAAUAAUCUAGGUCUAUUCUCUAUAAGAAUGGCUUAGGUAUUUAAAAUUCUAAAUAAAGUGUCUAAAUGUAAAAUACAACAAAACGCCAAAAGUGUAAUUCUACAAAGAAAGACUUAGGUCCAUUCUUUACAAAGAAUGACUUAGAUCCAUUCUUUACAAAGAAUGACUUAGGUAGGUUUUAGGUAGAUUUUGAAAUAUAAGAGAAAGGGACAAAACUUAACUAGGAACAAAGAAUUUAUUUUUGGGAUGCAAAGUGCCUCACUUAAUGGAGGGAUGUCGGUUGUUCUAGGCUCUUAUAGAGAUUAAAGAAGAAUGGGCAGAGGAUGGUUAUGGUGAGAAGUUUAGAUUUGUUGAGUCCAUCUCAUUUGGGUGGCCCAAACCCAAAGUUAAAUAAGUUUAGGUAAUUAAGUAAUUAAAGAAAGGGAAAAUGACUGACACACCCCCAAUGCUUAGAUAAAGGGACAAAAACUUCCCUAAUGUUUUGAAAAAGACAUCUACAGCCCCAUUUACUAACGAAAACUGUUUCUUUUAACAGAAUUUGUAAUUUUAUCAUGUAAUUACCAUUAUACCCUUCUAGCACAUAAAAAAUUAAUUGUUGAUCGUCCAAUUUGUCCAUAUACUUUUAAUAAAAUUACGAAUAUACCCUCAUUAUCCAAUUCUUCUAUUUAAAUUUUUGUCAAACUUUCUCUUCAAAUAAAUAAAAUUGAUUAUUAAUGUCAUAAGAAUAACAAUUCUCCACAUGUCAAUCAUUUAAACUUGUAUAAUCAACAAAAAAAAUAAUCAUGCUUAAAUAAUCAUAAAUGAUUGACAUAUGGAGAAUUGUUAUUCUUAUGGCAUUAAUAACCAAUUUUAUUUAUUUUUAUUCUUCAGUAAUGGAUUAAAUUUAUUUGGUUUGAAGAGAAAAUUUGACAAAAAUUUAAAUAGAGGAAUUGGGUAAUGAGGGUAUAUUCAUAAUUUUAUAAAAAAAUAUGGACAAAUUGGACAAUCAACAAUUACUUUUUUAUGUGCUAGAAGGGUAUAACGGUAAUUACAUGUUAAAAUUAUAAAUUCUGUUAAAAGAAACAAUUUUCGAAAGUAAAUGUUGGUGUGGAUAUCUUUUUCGAAACAUUAUGGGUUUUUUGUCCAUUUAUCUAAACGUUGGGGGUGUGUUAGUCCUUUUUCCUUAAAGAAACAUUGAGGGGCUAAGUGAAAUUUUACAAUAAAAUUUCACUAUAUAAACAGGCAUAGGCUAGGGGAAGUCGUGAGAGAGAGAGAGGAAAAAAAAAGCCAGUAGAGGUUUUUAAUUUGGGGGCAAGAUUUUUAAUCUUUAAUUGAGUGAUCGGAAGACGAAAUUAACUUCGUUUUCUCCCAAAUUUUGAGGAUAAGUUCCUAAUAUCACCCUCUACAAUCUUAUUGGUCUUGAUUUUUAUUUUAUCCUCUCUUAGGCUAUUAUUUGAGAUACCCACUUGUUAGAGUGACAAUUAUUAGGCUAUUACUGUAAGCUAAGAAUAUUAAGAUUCUUGAUGUUGUUAGCCUCUAGUUUUAUCUAGAAAAUAAUUUGUACUGUAAUCCCAUUAAUAUAGUGGAGGAUUAUAUCGAACUACAAUCCCGUGAUUUUUCCCGCUUUGGCUUUUCCACAUAAAAAUUUGUGUCUCUUGUGGUUGGUUCUUGCUUUGAAUUUUGUUGGUCUAUUUUUCCGCCUAUUUAUUUGUGGUACACAUUCUAUUUUAAUCACACAAAGAGAGAGAAUUUUAUUUCCGCUUAAUUUGCGGCUGUUUGUGGUAGUCCCGUUCCUAACAAGAUCUUGGAGAGAGAGAGAAUUUGAAAAGAUGCUCUUGACUAGCAAAAAAACAAAAAGGAGGUUAGAGAUGGAGUCGGUAGUGGCCGACGAUCACUCUCUAAUGUUCAAGUCAGAUUUUAGGACUAUUUUGGUGUCAAAAGCUUGCAAGCUCUUGAUAAUGGCAGCUGAAAAUUGAAGAUUGACUCAGCCUUUCGUGGAGUUGUGUUUUUUAGUUAUGAAUUAGAAAAAUAGAACUUUGGUGUCAUUAUAUAGAGUACCCUAGCUACUACCUUGCCACCUAGAGCAUUUCCAUUGGCAAUUUGCGUUUUUUACAAAGAUUUUUCAUCCUUUUACACUUAUCAUCAUUUUCGGUCAUCAGGAUCAUUCUUGGAGAGCACAUAAAUUGUCCACUUUUACAUGUGGUGCAUGUUGCUGGGUGGUUCAACAUACUUCUACAAAGACUGUCUUGGCAGUUUCUGGAUUGCCAGUUAUGGAGCACUAUCCUUAAUGUGUUGUUUUACGCUUUUUAUAGGUGUGACAGCCUGCUGUCCUCUCUUUUUCAGCAAAAUAUUCCUUAAUUGAUCUAGAAAAUCAGUUACUCUCUUUGGAUGAUGGAGGUAUUUCAGUGGCUUCUAUUUUGUGUAUUUCUCUAACCAACCUUUACAUGGUGUAUUCCACGUACCAUUUCGAUCACCUGGCGUACCUCAGAUAAGCCAGCUUCUUCUUGGUUAUUUCCUAUAUUAUUUUACUCCUUUCCUUGACACGUGGCAUUCUCUUAUUUAUUACCCAAACACUAGGUCCAUUCUUUACAAAAAAUUACCUAGGUUCUAUACAUACAAAGAAUGAUCUAGGUCCACCUUUUACAAAGAACGGCAUAAGUUCAUUCCUUACAAAAAAUUACCUAGGCACUUAAAAGUAUUUCUAAGUAAAAUACGUAAAAGAUAAGUAUUCGAUAAAGCACCAAAGGCUUGAUUCUUCAAAGAAUGACAUAGUUCUAUUCUGUACAAAGAAUGACUUACGUCCACAUUUUACAAAGAAAAACCUAUAUCUAUUCCUUACAAAGAAUAUAUGGAUAAUUCGAAAAUAUUUCUAAGUAAAACGCUCAAAGAGCGAGUCUUCAAUAAUUUAUUAAAAAGCAUGAUUUUUUGAAGAAUUACCUAGAUCCAUUCUUUACGAAGAAUUACCUAGGCCCAUGUUUUACAAAGAACAACCUAGGUCCAUUGCAAAGAACGACUUAGGCAUUUAAAAAAUAUUUUUAUGUAAAACGCCUAAAGGGCGAGUCUUCAAUAAAGUGUCAAAUGCGUGAUUCUUCAAAAAAAUGACCUAAGUCCAUUCUUCACAAAACAUGACCUAGGUUCACUAAUUAUAAAGAAUGACCUAGGUUCAUGCCAAACAAAAAAUGACCUAGGCACUUAAAAGAAUUUCUAAGUAAAACACCCAAGGGGAAAGUCUUUGACAAAGCGCCAAGGCGUGAUUCAUCAAAGAAUGACCAAGUUUCAUUAUUCACAAAAAAUGACCUAGGUCAACUUUUUACAAAGAACGACCUAGGUUUAUUCUUUGUAAAGAAUGACUUAGGUCUAUUCUUUACAAAGAAUGACCUAGGCACUUAGAAAAUGUUUCCAAGUAAAACGCCUAAACGGUAAAUUUUCGACAAAGCAUUGAAGGCAUGAUUCAACAAAGAAAGACCUAGGUCCAUUCUUUACAAAGAAUGACCUAGGUCCAUUACUUACAAAGAAUGACCUAAACAUUUAAAAAAUAUUUCUAAGAGCCUAUGGGCAAAUAAACAUUCUAUAAAAUACGCAUAGUAAGUAUACAUUCUACAUAAUGUGCCUACGGGCAAUAUACAAUACACAUGCUAUAGAAUGAACAUGCAGUCAAAUAUACAUUCUACGGAAUACACCUAUGAACAAAUACACAUUCUACGAAAUGCGCCUAUGGGUAAAUAUAUAUUCUACAGAAUAAGUCCGUGGGCAAGUACACAUUCUACUGAAUGCAUCUACAAGCAACAUACAUUUUACGAAAUGCGCUUACAGUAAAUAUACAUUCUACGGAAUACACCUCCGGGCAAAUACGUAUUCUACAGAAUUAGCCUAUGGGAAAAUAUACAUUGCACGAAGCUAGGGUGUUAAAAAUACCCGCCUAAUCUGAACCCAGAUCGGACCUGGAUUAUGCGGGCCGGGUAUCACCCUAGCAAUACCUGGCCUGGAGAUGAAGUCAGGCCAGUCCUGACCAUCACUUGAUAAGCCUGGGACCUGGCCCAGAACUCAGAUUUUAUAAAAAAUAUUAUAAAAUAUAUAUUAUUUUAAAUAGUUAUAUUUAUUUGACCUAUUUAUUAUAUAUAUGUAAAGUUUUAAACAUUUAAAGUUCAUAUCUUCAUGCUCAAUUUCAUUGCAUUAAAUUUAAAAAUUACAAAAUUACAAAAUUACAAAAAAAUAAAAAAUAUACAUAUAUAAUAUUAAAAAAUAUAACCCAAUACAAAAAAUCCGAUAAAAAAUUUGGCCUAGUGUUGGACUUUUUAAGCCUGGCCUAAGUGUCUAAAAAUUACAUUCAGGUCAGAUCUGAGCAUUGCUAUACUUGACCUGGACCCAGAUUUUGCCAGCUCUACUAUGGACAAAUACGCAUUCUACGGAAUGCGCUUAUAGUCAUAUAUGCAUACUAAGGAAUGCACUUACAGGUAAAUAAAUAUUCUAUGGAAUGCACCCAUGACCAAAACGUUCUACGUAAUGCGCCUACGGGCAAAUAUAUAAAUCUUAUGAACUACACUUACGGGCAAAAUAUUGCAAAAUCAAUCCUCUAAGCAAAGAACCAAUAUAAGUGCCGAAUUCAAACUCAAGCCUUAUUAAAAGUCGGGCCCAAAAACAUGACAAAUGUCCAAAGAAUACUUGUCAUGAACAAGUAUUGGUGCAUAUGAAUAUUUGUCUCCAUGUAUGAGCUUUGGUUGACACUUAUCAUAACAAAAGUGCCACAUAAUCUCUCCAAUUAACUCUAAGAUGCCUACAUAAAGGCUAGAUCCCAUUUGAAGAUAAGGAAAAAAAGAGGAAUAAAAUGAGUACAAAAACUCUAUCCAUUUCACUUUAAAUUUUUCUCCCUAAAAAUUGAGUAAAAAAUUACUUGAGAAUCGGAGGGUUAUCGCCAGCAAGUUGGCCUCCUUUGAAAAUUGUUUUAUUUUGCGAAAAAAUUAACCAUGAGAGGAGACGUGAUUUGAGACACUCGCCUCAAGGAGAAAAUAAGCCACAAAAAUUGAUUUAAAAGAAAGUUCAAAACACAAAUCAAUCAUUGUACAUUGAGCAAAAAAUUGCAUCAAUAGCUAUUAUAAUCAAGUCAUGGAUGCUUUAAUCUAAGAAACAAAACUAAGGGAAAAUGGAAGAAUAUUAAUCAUUAUAAUCGAAGGUUAAUUAAUCAGCACUUUGGCAGUUCUGGCCAUAUUAUCUAAACGAAAUAAUCUUUUGGAAGGAAACUAAUACUCGAUUAUUGCCAUUAUAAUCAAGUCAUAAAAUAUGCUUUAAUGUAGGAAACAGAACUAGGGAAAAAUGAAAGAAUAUUUCAUUAUAAUAAAAGGUUAGUUAAUCAGCAUUUUGGCAGUUCUAGCCACAUUGUCCAAAUGAAAUAAUGUUCUGGAAGGAAACUAAGACUUGAUUAUUGCUAUUAGUUUGUUUGUAAAUUAAUUGUUGCCGACAAACUAUAUAUCGAGUCAAAAAUUAUUUUCAAGUAUUUUCUUAUCUACACCCUAAUCACCAACAUCUAUGACUCGUGUAGAAAUUUUUUGAUAUAAAAUUGUUAGUGGAUAAGUAGAAAAAGGUAGGGUUUAGGUCUUGCUGCUCAGCUUAGUUUUUCUGAUCUUGAGGUAGAAUCUGAUUUAGCCACUGUGGUUUCGUGGGCUAUUUCAAGUGGAUUCGUAUGGUGGGAUUUUGCUUACCUCCUUGGUUGUGUUUGGGGAUUGGCUUCUAGCCCAUCUAUUAUUAUCAGACAUGUUUUUCGAGAAGCUACAUUUGCUGCUGACUUUAUGGCCAACUAGGCUUAUGCUCAUCAGACUUGUCAGUGAUUUUUCAAUCCUGUAGACCUUUCAGCUGGUUUAUCGGGCAUUCUUCAUUUAGAUACUCUUGAAGUUCCAUAUAUUCGGCAUUAAUCACCUUGAUUUGGAUUAGUUUUAUAUUGUUCACUAAAUCAUUUGCUUCUCUUAGGGGGCUUUGGUUUAUGUCCUCCUUCUUAUGUUCAUUCAUUGAUUGAUUUAUUUACAGGUAGGGGUCUGGCCUAACCCCCACCAUCUUGGUGGAUUUUCAUUAAAAAAAAAAAGUAGAAAAAGGUAGGCUUUUUUUUUUCAAGUUUUUGAAAGGAAUAAACAAUGUUUCAUCAAAACUUAUUAAUUCUAACGUUUUAUCGGGGUUUUAUACAGACUAAAACUAUUAAUUCGUUAGAUAGGAAUUUUGGUUUUUUUUUUUAGGAAAAGAUAAUUAUAAAAUAACAAUAAAAUAAAAAAAUCUAUAAUUUUCAUUGAGUUAGCUAUGUAUAAUUUAGGAAUUUAUUUCCUUUUAAACAUAAAAUAAUAAACUUAAUAUUGUUGGGCCUUAACCAAACUCCUAAGCGGCCAAGAAGAAGAUUAUGGAAAUGAAAAUUUCUUAUUCCGAUUUAAAAAAAUUAUUUUUUAAUAUAAAUUUUCUCUUCUUUUUUAAGAAAACAUUAAAAUUGAAGUGAUGAAAUCUUAAUUAACGACCAUUUGAAUUGUUCAUGAUUGACAAAGAAUCAGCUAGAAUAUCUGACAUAUACACAAAUCUUAUAAUUUUUUUGCAAUUAUCUCUGUCCUUCGUCUUGGUAUUCUGUUUCUGUUUUAUAACUAAAUUCUCUUUGUUCUUGGCUUGUUGUAGUAGCUCUUUUUUUAUUUAUUUAUUUUAAUUUUUUGAGGAACUUAUCGGAGGCUUUUUAACUGUUCCUUUGCUCAUCUUUUUCAAUGGAACUAUCGCAGAGCUGUACAAGCGCAAAAUAAUUAUGAAGGGCGAGAACAAAGGGGUAGAGGCAUUGAGAUUGUCAGUGAGGCAAAGGAGAAAGGAAACUGAAUCCAGGGAGCGAAAGAACAACAUGUCAGUGGCGUUCUUCGUGGCUAGCUAUGAAACUACAUCUACCAUUAUGGAAGACAAAUGAAGAGAUAAAAACUUUAGGGAGAGAAACUAAAGAUAAUAAAGUUAUAAUAUUUACCUAUAAUGGUAAUAAUAGUAAUUUAAGUUAAGGAUAUUUGUGUCAUAAUAUUGUCUUUUUAAAAUGGGUUUAAUAAAUAGUUUGGUGGGUUUAAAUAAUCGCAACCAUAAUCUAGCAAUAAUUAAUUUUUUCGAUCUCUUUCUCUCAACUUCUUUUCUCUUCAUUUUUCUCUCUUCAAGGAAUAUUUUUACUUAUUAAUUAUGUCUGCUUGAAAAUUAUAUUAAUUCUUAAGUGCGCGUUUGACAUACUGUAUUAUAUUAUACUACAUUAAAGUAUUUUAAUGUAGAUAUAUUGUAUUAUGUUGUAUUACAUUAGCAUUGUAUUGUGAUACUGCUAUACUGUAUUAAUUUUUAGUUAUACUAUGUUUGGUGCUGUGUUAUACUGUAUUAAUUUCUUUGGCGAUUAAUUUAAAUUAUAUAUUUAGAAAAUAUGUAAUUUAUUAGUACUUAUAAAAAUGUAAAAUAUCGAAGUCUAAAAUAUUUGAAUUUUUACUUCAAUUUUUUUUGUUUAAAUGAAAAAAUUCAUAAUUCUUCAUAAACUAUAUGUAAAACUAACAAAUUUUAAAAUUUUCGACAGCAUCACACUUAUUUUUUCAACAAGUACCAAAUAUAUAACCUAGGAAAUAAAGAUUGAAGCAAAUAAUUUAAUCACAUAACCUCUAAAAACUAUCACAAUAUAAAUAAAUAGUUAUAGGAUUUGUUCAAAGUUUAUACAUACUACAAAAGAGUUGCAAAAUAUUAAAGUGAUUCAAUAGUUGUAAUAUAAUAUCCUAUAAAGUAGAUUGUGUUAAAUAAUCCAAGUACACACAUCCACAAGUCAAAAUACUAAUGCAAAGUAUCAUUGUGUAGCUCGAAAUGCAUACUCUCUAAUCAAACUCCACCUCUCCUCUCAUGCUUAUGCAAAAGCAUCCUAACAUAUGCCAACCUAAGGCCAUGAUUAUUUCAUAAUACCUUGAAAGCCCUUAUAUGUGAAGGUUUCUCGAUCCCACUAAAUUUAACGAAAUAAGUUAAAAAUCCCUUUAAAUGUUUGUUUGCAUUUUUAAAUAAUUUUUUUUCUGUUUACAAUGUGAAUUUUUGCUUAAAAAGAAGUGUAGGUUUUAAUUUAUUUUUUUAUCCAGUAAUAUAAUUUUAAAUUUGUUUAAUGUUGUGAAAUAUCUAAAGUCGUUUUAAAAGGUUUUUUGAGGAUACCAAUUGUACAACUUGAAAAUUGAAAGCGCACACAUUACAUAUGCAACGCCAAUAACUCUCUAUACAUAUACCAUUCAAUAUCAAUUACCUAAUCUAAUUUCAAAGUCAUAAAUUAAAACUACACAUUUAAACUAGGGUUGGCAAAAAAAGUCCGACCCAACCCAAACCUACAGAUUUUAAGCCCGGCCCGCAGAAUAAAAACAUAAAUAAGGGCUCAGGAAAUGUAAAACCCAUAUAUAUUGGACUUUGGGUAAAGGCGUUUAAGAAAAAGCCCGCCGGCUUUAUUAUAUAAAAUAAAAUCAAAUUAAAAAAAAAAUACAAAACAGCCGACCCUAAAAAUUUCCUAAUACCUCACGCUGUCACAGGAGUCACACCGACCUUCCCAAAACCAAGUGAAGCAAGAACCAGCAACUGCAUCUUCAUCAUCACACCAGCCCAACAAUUUCAGCCACCGCCGACCACCAUGAUGCAGCCAUUAAGCGACGCAGCUACUCGAACCAAACACCAGCAGCGCGACGCAGUAGCAGCCAUUAAAGACAAUCAUUUAGUUUUCAAUCUUCCAUAUGUAAUAUGCAACAGAGAAUAGCCGCUUGAAUGCUGUUGAACUUGUAGAAUCUGCCGCCAUUAAUUCAUCAACGGGUAAGAUGCACUUCUCAUGGUAUUGUCAGUUUUUUGGGUUUUUUUAUUUGAUCAUGUAAAGGCAAACUAAACAAAUUGGGUUAGUUUAAUUUGGUGAAAUUCGAUUUGGGUUUAUUGUGAUUAUGAGUAUUUAUUUAUUUGUUCGUUUCAGAUGGAAUUAAGAGAUGAGGUUGUAAAAAUUGAUAGCUUGGAGAAGGGUUAAAAUGGAAUAGAACGUGAAGAUGAUGAAUUUAUACCAGAGGUGGCAAAAAUAUCCGUUUGGUCCGGACCCAGAUUGUACGCAGGCGUUGUGGACUGGGUGGGUAUGAAGUCGGGUCGAUCUUGGACAUUACUUGAUAAAUCUAGAAUCCGAAUUUUAUUAAAAAAAAUUAUAAAAUAUAUAUUAUUUAAAAUAUUUAUAUUUAUUUAACUCAUUUAUUAUACAUAUAUAAAAUUUUAAACACUUAAAGUUUAUAUUUUUAUGUUAAAUUUUAUUGAAAUAAAUUUAAAACUUAUAAAAUCACUAAAAAAUAAAAAAUAUAUACAUAUAUAAUAUUAAAAAAUAUAAAAUUUAGAUACCCGAAUUAAAACUCAAUCCGGACUCGGACCCAGACCCAGACCGGUUGCAUCCGGGUAGAAUCCGGUCAUUGCAAUACCUGAACCCGACCUGAGGUUUUGCCAUCCCUACUUUAUACGGUGUCGUUUCAAGAGAAAGAAGACAACUUUAUUCAGUGUCAAACGGCUCAGUGGGUGUUAAUGUGUUAUAUUUGUUGAUUUUGUUUUUGGCUUGGGGCAUCGGCUUGUUCAUGCUUUUGUAUUAUGUCCUUACAUUUUAAGCUUUAUUUUAAAGUAAAAUAAAAAUUAUGGAAGCUAAGCCCGGCCCGGGGCCGUUUAGGUCCGAUCUAAGUUUGACCCGCUUAAAUUUAGACAGACUUUUAAAGGACUUGAACCUAAUGACAAUGACAUGGACUUGAGCCUGAACUUCAAAAAAACCCGACUCAAGCCCGCAAUUUGUCAACUCUAAUAUGGACAACUACUAACGACCUGUAAUCAAGUCAUUAAAACCUUAUGGGGACUCAUAAACAGUCACAAACACAUUGGAAAAGCGCAUAUGACAGUGAAGCUACCAUGCUCAUCUUGCGUGUCCACAUUGUUGUGGCUGAUUCCUGUGGGUAAUGUUGUUGUCUCCUUAUUAGCUAGCUAGAAAGACAGGCUUCUGUUUGACCCCAUACUGGUUGGUGAUAAGGGAUAGGUUGCCGCAACCCUUAGGCACGAUUUAUAAGCCUUGCAGAUAUAGCCUAUAAAGUUCUCGUAUUCC
rnacentral:lncRNA from 1 species